AUGAAGCCCAGCUUGCUGGGUGGAUUAGUGGCGAACGGGUGACUAUCACGUGAGUAACCUGCCCCCGACUCUGGGAUAAGCCCGGGAAACUGGGUCUAAUACCGGAUAUUACCUUUGACCGCAUGGUUGUUGGUGGAAAGAUUUAUCGGUGGGGGAUGGACUCGCGGCCUAUCAGCUUGUUGGUGAGGUAAUGGCUCACCAAGGCGACGACGGGUAGCCGGCCUGAGAGGGUGACCGGCCACACUGGGACUGAGACACGGCCCAGACUCCUACGGGAGGCAGCAGUGGGGAAUAUUGCACAAUGGGCGAAAGCCUGAUGCAGCGACGCCGCGUGAGGGAUGACGGCCUUCGGGUUGUAAACCUCUUUCAGUAGGGAAGAAGCGAAAGUGACGGUACCUGCAGAAGAAGCGCCGGCUAACUACGUGCCAGCAGCCGCGGUAAUACGUAGGGCGCAAGCGUUAUCCGGAUUUAUUGGGCGUAAAGAGCUCGUAGGCGGUUUGUCGCGUCUGCCGUGAAAGUCCGAGGCUCAACCUCGGAUCUGCGGUGGGUACGGGCAGACUAGAGUGAUGUAGGGGAGACUGGAAUUCCUGGUGUAGCGGUGAAAUGCGCAGAUAUCAGGAGGAACACCGAUGGCGAAGGCAGGUCUCUGGGCAUUUACUGACGCUGAGGAGCGAAAGCAUGGGGAGCGAACAGGAUUAGAUACCCUGGUAGUCCAUGCCGUAAACGUUGGGCACUAGGUGUGGGGGACAUUCCACGUUUUCCGCGCCGUAGCUAACGCAUUAAGUGCCCCGCCUGGGGAGUACGGCCGCAAGGCUAAAACUCAAAGGAAUUGACGGGGGCCCGCACAAGCGGCGGAGCAUGCGGAUUAAUUCGAUGCAACGCGAAGAACCUUACCAAGGCUUGACAUGUGCCAGACCGCCUCAGAGAUGGGGUUUCCCUUCGGGGCUGGUUCACAGGUGGUGCAUGGUUGUCGUCAGCUCGUGUCGUGAGAUGUUGGGUUAAGUCCCGCAACGAGCGCAACCCUCGUUCCAUGUUGCCAGCACGUAAAGGUGGGGACUCAUGGGAGACUGCCGGGGUCAACUCGGAGGAAGGUGGGGAUGACGUCAAAUCAUCAUGCCCCUUAUGUCUUGGGCUUCACGCAUGCUACAAUGGCCGGUACAAUGGGUUGCGAUACUGUGAGGUGGAGCUAAUCCCUAAAAGCCGGUCUCAGUUCGGAUUGGGGUCUGCAACUCGACCCCAUGAAGUCGGAGUCGCUAGUAAUCGCAGAUCAGCAACGCUGCGGUGAAUACGUUCCCGGGCCUUGUACACACCGCCCGUCAAGUCACGAAAGUUGGUAACACCCGAAGCCGAUGGCCUAACCACC
rnacentral:rRNA from 1 species